rnacentral:rRNA from 1 species
CCCUUAGAUGUUCUGGGCCGCACGCGCGCUACACUGAUGCAUUCAACGAGCCUAUCCUUGACCGACAGGUCCGGGUAAUCUUUGAAUCUGCAUCGUGACGGGGAUAGAUUAUUGCAAUUAUUAAUCUUCAACGAGGAAUGCCUAGUAGGCGCAAGUCAUCAGCUUGCGUCGAUUACGUCCCUGCCCUUUGUACACACCGCCCGUCGCUCCUACUGAUUGGUAUAUAAGGUAAAAAUCUCGGAGAAGUUGGGAUUUCAUGCAGGUUUACUUGCAUGUGCCUGGCCUCAAAGUUAUUUAAAUCUUCUGUACUAGAGGAAGGAGAAGUCGUAACA